rnacentral:rRNA from 1 species
GAUGAACGCUGGCGGCGUGCCUAAUACAUGCAAGUCGAGCGAACAGACGAGGAGCUUGCUCCUCUGACGUUAGCGGCGGACGGGUGAGUAACACGUGGCUAACCUACCUAUAUGACUGGGAUAACUUCGGGAAACCGGAGCUAAUACCGGAUAAUAUAUUCAACCGAAUGGUUCAAUAGUGAAAGACGGUUUUGCUGUCACUUAUAGAUGGUUCCGCGCCGCAUUAGCUAGUUGGUAAGGUAACGGCUUACAAAGGCAACGAUGCGUAGCCAACAAGAGAGAGUGAGGGACCCGACUGGAGCGGAGACACGGUCCAGACGCCUACGAGAGGCAGCAGUAGGGAAUCUUCCGCGAUGGGCGAAAGCCUAACGGAGCAACGCCGCGUGAGUGAUGAAGGUCUUCGGAUCGUAAAACUCUGUUAUUAGGGAAGAACAAAUGUGUAAGUAACUAUGCACGUCUUGACGGUACCUAAUCAGAAAGCCACGGCUAACUACGUG